AACGUAGGAGACAAACGUUAUCCGGAGUUACUGGGCGUAAAGGGCGUGUAGGUGGUUUCGUAAGUCUGGCGUGAAAUAUCUCGGCUUAACCGAGGCAGGUCGUCGGAUACUGCGGAACUAGAGGACGGUAGAGGCGUGUGGAAUUCCGGGUGUAGUGGUGAAAUGCGUAGAGAUCCGGAGGAACACCAGUGGCGAAGGCGACACGCUGGGCCGUACCUGACACUGAGGCGCGAAGGCGUGGGGAGCAAACGGGG
rnacentral:rRNA from 1 species